rnacentral:rRNA from 1 species
GAUGAACGCUGGCGGCGUGCCUAAUACAUGCAAGCCGAGCGAACAGACGAGGAGCUUGCUCCUCUGACGUUAGCGGCGGACGGGUGAGUAACACGUGGAUAACCUACCUAUAAGACUGGGAUAACUUCGGGAAACCGGAGCUAAUACCGGAUAAUAUAUUGAACCGCAUGGUUCAAUAGUGAAAGACGGUUUUGCUGUCACUUAUAGAUGGAUCCGCGCCGCAUUAGCUAGUUGGUAAGGUAACGGCUUACCAAGGCAACGAUGCGUAGCCGACCUGAGAGGGUGAUCGGCCACACUGGAACUGAGACACGGUCCAGACUCCUACGGGAGGCAGCAGUAGCGAAUCUUCCGCAAUGGGCGAAAGCCUGACGGAGCAACGCCGCGUGAGUGAUGAAGGUCUUCGGAUCGUAAAACUCUGUUAUUAGGGAAGAACAAAUGUGUAAGUAACUAUGCACGUCUUGACGGUACCUAAUCAGAAAGCCACGGCUAACUACGUG